AUGGGAUGGGGUCACUUUGCAUGUCUCUUAUCGCCGCUGUCGCUCACGGAGUGCGUUCUGUUCUGCGCUGUUCGAGUUCUCUCCUCAGCUCAGCAGAGCUCUUCUCACAAAUCGAGCUUCCCAACCCUCCCGCCUGGCUGUCAUACUCAAGCAGAGGACACAGAGACAAGGGGCAUGGCAAGAAUAACUCAUGGGUCUAUGAACAGUCCCAUGGUGUUGCCUCUAUUUGUGCAUUAUAGGAGCUUCUCUCAGAUGCAUUUAUUUUUUAAUUUUAACAUGGAAGUGUGGUUUAAAUUGAUGGUAACAGGUUUAUCUGCCGCUCAGUAUUCUGCUGUUUUCUGUUUCUAGCUGCUGCAGCAAGUUCCAGGAUCUCUCAGUUCAUGGUAAACAAAUGAGACAGUGCUAGGAGGCAAGCUGUGAAGAAGUCUGCUCACUUGUGUGCAGCUUAGAGCUAUUUUGCAUGGCACUUCCCUGCCUAAAUUGGAGCAUAUCUCUGGGGUGCACAACACUGCCCUACUCACUUCUGCAUUACGUCUCUGCUUAUCCCAAAGAUCAAGCAGCUGUACCUAGUGUCAGACUUCCCUACUUCAGUUUUUCAACAACAUUAUUUCUGACCAUACGUGGAGUUCUUUUUGAGCCAGCACAUAUAUUUUAAUACACCAUUACAACUCCAAAGGCACAUCUUUAGCAGUGCCAUAUUGGUUUGGCACUGUGUUACUGCUGCAAGGAAUAUGGACAGUAUUGCUGGUUUUUCCCUUCCCCUCUCUCUGGUCCUGCUGGUGUGACCUUGGCAGCUGUAAUGAACAGAUGCCUCUUCCUUGCUUGUUUAUCUGUGCAAGAGACUUCUGAGGGCCCAGCUUCUGUGCCAGCUGUGAAUCGUCUCCAAAUUGUUUUUUCAGACUUUUCCUCCUCACAGUCUGGCUUAAUAUGUUUGUUCCCCAUGAUCACAGGGAUUGAUUUUCCAUUUCCCCCCUCCUGUUAUUUUUUGGGUGCAGCGGAGUCCUUUCCUCAUUGCUUCCACAUAGCUGCUUUCUGGCUGUUGUUUUGGAAGGGAGUGGAAGGAUUUGUUUCUUUGCUCCCCAUUAAUACAUAUAUAUAUAUAUAAA
rnacentral:lncRNA from 1 species